rnacentral:lncRNA from 1 species
AGACCACCACUAGCUCCGCACGGUUCAACUGUGUACAAUUUUUUAUAACCAAAAUGGAAUUGAAAUUUUUGUAGAAAAUUAAAUUCUUGUGUAGUUAGUGAAAGAAAUAAAAAUUCUGGCCUAUGCUUCUUCCAAAUUUCCCAAAGAUAGCUUAUUGUCCACCAACUCCCAAAACCUUGGCAAUUCCAACUAAGUAUCCUCAUCAAUCACCCGAGGUUUUGUGUCUUUCUGUCUCAUUUUCUGGUUUAAGGGACCCUUGACAGAUGGCUUUUUACGAGGGGAGACCAAAACCAACCGCUUCUUGGUGCUUCCUCCAAUCACCGAUGUGUUACCUUUUAUAAUCUUCUUUUUUGCUCCAGGUUUGUCUCCUUUGAUUUCCAGCCUCGACUCCACUUUUUCCUUAGCAUCCUCCCGGUUUGGUUAUGUUUCUGUCUCGACAAUGUCCUCUCCUCCCCUCUCCGUAUCAUCUUGAGCCGAGUUCAUGAUAAACUCACCUUCUUCCUGCUCCAAGUAAUCUCGCUCCACAUCUGAGGUCAACUGAGCGUCUCCUGAUUCCAUGACCGAAUCUAUGUGUUGCUUUUAUCCUUCAUGUUCAAGAAUCACCUCUUGAAAAUUUCCUGCAACACUACUAUCAAUAUCAAAGUCCAUCAAAGAGUCAUCAUUGUUCAACAGCUGUUCCCAUUCAUUAGCUGUUGCCCCAUCGCUCU